GCCAGACUCCUACGGGAGGCAGCAGUGGGGGAUAUUGCACAAUGGGGGGAACCCUGAUGCAGCGACGCCGCGUGGGUGAAGAAGCGCCUCGGCGCGUAAAGCCCUUUCAGCAGGGAAGAAAAUGACGGUACCUGUAGAAUAAGCUCCGGCUAACUACGUGCCAGCAGCCGCGGUAAUACGUAGGGAGCAAGCGUUAUCCGGAAUUAUUGGGUGUAAAGGGUGCGUAGACGGGACAGCAAGUUAGUUGUGAAAGCCCGCGGCUUAACUGAGGAACUGCAACUAAAACUAUUGUUCUUGAGUGCAGGAGAGGAAAGCGGAAUUCCUAGUGUAGCGGUGAAAUGCGUAGAUAUUAGGAGGAACGCCAGUGGCGAAGGCGGCUUUCUGGACUGUAACUGACGUUGAGGCACGAAAGUGUGGGGAGCAAACAGGAUUAGAUACCCGGGUA
rnacentral:rRNA from 1 species